rnacentral:lncRNA from 1 species
GAAGGCGCCAUCCUGCCUGCCACAGGAAGGGCCUUGGACUGAGAGGACCGGAGCUGACUGGGGAUUAUUCAAAGCCAAAAGCCAACAGAGCCCCCAUGGAGAAGUGGAGGAUGCUCAGAUACUGCUAUGGAGCCCUGAGAAGUGAAAUGGGUCCAAGCCCUUGCCCAGGAUAGAGCGCUCCAAGCGCAUCCUCCGGGGACCCUUUUAAUCAGUGAAUUGUUCACCUCUCACUGUUUCUUCCCAGCAGAGCUAAGAGACUUCUAGAGCCUCUUGUGGAUGGUCAGCGAUAGCCCUGGUAUGACCAGGAGGUGGCGAUUUCUGUUCUAGGUCCCUCAGCAAAGACUAAGCAGGACAAGCCUGGCUACUGUGUUAGGAGGAG